rnacentral:tRNA from 1 species
GGCUCCUUGGUCAAGCGGUUAAGACACCGCCCUUUCACGGCGGUAACACGGGUUCGACUCCCGUAGGAGUCA